rnacentral:lncRNA from 1 species
CCUUGCAAUUGGAUUAUCUCAUAACUCAAUCAGACUUGAUCUAAUCAAAUCUAAAUUAAGUCAAAUUGAAUUCAAUUCAUUUAUACUUGAUUUUAACCUAAUUGCUCAAUCAAAUUGAGCCACUUAGUAAUCCAAUUGCUAAUUAUUCUUCUUACAACUUACUAACUCUUAGUAAAUUAGACAAUUGCAAUAAUUGAAUUAGAUCAAUCAUC